rnacentral:rRNA from 1 species
GCGCGAAAACUGUGCAAUGCGCGAAAGCGCGACACGGGAAGCCUGAGUGCCUUAACACAGUUAAGGCUUUUCUCAAGCCUAAAAAGCUUGAGGAAUAAGAGCUGGGUAAGACGGGUGCCAGCCGCCGCGGUAACACCCGCAGCUCGAGUGGUGGUCACUUUUAUUGAGCCUAAAGCGUUUGUAGCCGGUUUUGCAAAUCUUCAGAUAAAUUCCUCUGCUUAACAGAUGAUCUUCUGAAGAGACUGCGAGACUUGGGACCGGGUGAGGUUGAAGGUACUUCCGGGGUAGGGGUAAAAUCCUGUAAUCCUGGAAGGACGACCGGUGGCGAAGGCGUUCAACUAGAACGGAUCCGACGGUGAGGAACGAGGGCUAGGGUAGCAAACCGG